UACGUAGGCAGCGAGCGUUGUUCGGAGUUACUGGGCGUAAAGGGUGCGUAGGCGGUUGUUUAAGUUUGGUGUGAAAUCUCCCGGCUCAACUGGGAGGUGCGCCGAAUACUGAAUGACUAGAGUGCGGGAGAGGAUAGUGGAAUUCCUGGUGUAGCGGUGAAAUGCGUAGAUAUCAGGAGGAACACCGGUGGUGUAGACGGCUAUCGUGGACCGUAACUGACGCUGAGGCACGGAAAGCGUGGGUAGCAAACAGG
rnacentral:rRNA from 1 species